rnacentral:rRNA from 1 species
GACGAACGCUGGCGGCGUGCUUAACACAUGCAAGUCGAACGGAAAGGCCCUGCUUUUGUGGGGUGCUCGAGUGGCGAACGGGUGAGUAACACGUGAGUAACCUGCCCUUGACUUUGGGAUAGCUUCAGGAAACUGGGGCUAAUACCGGAUAGGAGCUCCUACUGCAUGGUGGGGGUUGGAAAGUUUCGGCGGUUGGGGAUGGACUCGCGGCUUAUCAGCUUGUUGGUGGGGUAGUGGCUUACCAAGGCUUUGACGGGUAGCCGGCCUGAGAGGGUGACCGGCCACAUUGGGACUGAGAUACGGCCCAGACUCCUACGGGAGGCAGCAGUGGGGAAUAUUGCACAAUGGGCGGAAGCCUGAUGCAGCAACGCCGCGUGCGGGAUGACGGCCUUCGGGUUGUAAACCGCUUUCGCCUGUGACGAAGCGUGAGUGACGGUAAUGGGUAAAGAAGCACCGGCUAACUACGUG